CACCUGGUACGUGUUGUCGAAGCUGUCGUACAUGAACCUCGUGAUCAGAGACGUCUUUCCGACUCUAUGCUCCCCCAGCGAACA